GUGAGUGAGCGGGAAUGAGGGGGUGGGUUUAGCCAAACAGGCACUGAGCUCAUUGGAACAGCACUGUUAUUUUAUCCUCCUACCAAGCAUGUAGAUUUUGGAAGGCAUACAAGCCACUAGUACACCAGCUCCCUCAGUCGCCCCAGACUACAGGAGCAGAGAAGAGACUGUCGGAAUCCUAAGCAUCCUCACAAACCUCAGCCCGCCCGACAUACCAGAGGGCAUCUCUCGGUUGGCACUCAAAUCUCAAUCUUCACACUCUGAGACUUGGAUGGCUUCUUGAGUGUCCAGUGCUCCUGCGGAAAAUGACGCGAAUGGCUCAUUGACCCCUGGAUGAGGGAGUGAUUCUUCCUGCUGUCCCAUGAGGUUUUGAACUCUCUCUUUUUGAGUAUGCUGGCAACAACAAUUACUGCCUGAAGAUGGACCGUUCAUCGUUAUGGAAGAGAGAUCUUCGACCAUUCCUCUUUGCACAAUCUCUCUGAAUCAUCCAGUGGUUUCGAAGGGGCAGACAGGAACACAACCCUUCAACACAAUUUUACUGUAGCCUCUGCAUAGAGUCCCGUACAAUGCCUUUCAGUUCGGGAUCAGCGUUUUCUUCUUGAUUAACGAACUUUUUUUUUUUCUUCAUGAUAUUGAUCACGACUAUCGUGAUAACAUACUGUUAUUGAUUAAUCACCCAGCCAUACAUUUGAACGACAUUUAAAAUAGACUGAAAAUUGCAAAAUAUCAGUCAACAGUUACAGUUCAGAAAAGGUUGUUUUUGUGGAACCUUCUUUUUUUGUCAUGCACUGUGACAACUUGAACGUACCUGUAUUUGAUGUCUGCCUUUACAGGGUAAACAAGUGCACCAUCCUUCUAAGAAGUUUACAUUUGAGUUUGAAAGGGAUGUGCUUGAAUGUGUCAAGACUUUUCACUGGUUGGGCUCAUUUACAUUAAUUUGAAAUGAUUUCCAGAUCAUAUGUUGUUUUAUAAAAGCUGUGUACAAAUAGGAAUGAAAACACUGAUUCGUUGGGAUGCAAAUUAUAUGCAAAUGUCACAGUACAUUAUAUUCCCAUAUUUAGGCCAUAGUACAGUGUUAUUGCGGUGGCAUUGUAAAAAUAAGAAUAAUAAAUAACUUGGCAGAGUGGGAGGAAUGCCAUAGUGUGGAAA